rnacentral:tRNA from 1 species
CUGAAUGGGCGGGCCUCGAUCCCGCAAAAACUAGUUAACAGCUAGCUACCCUAGCCAGCGGGCUUCCACUCG